rnacentral:misc_RNA from 1 species
CCGAACUGUCAACACGAGUUGUUGCUGGUCCUCAAAUGGGGGGGCAUGUGCACACUCUGUUUACACAUCCAUUCACACCUGUGCACACUCUGUAGUUCUAUGGUGUGGGGGGCUCUCUGUCCUCCUGCCGUGGUUCUAUGUCUUUACACACACACUGUAACAAAAGUCUCAUGGAAUGUAUACCGCGUUUAACGCAAUACAAUA